UACCAGCACCCCGAGUGGUCGGGACGUUUAUUGGGCCUAAAGCAUCCGUAGCCGGUUCUACAAGUCUUCCGUUAAAUCCAACUGCUUAACAGGUGGGCUGCGGAAGAUACUAUAGAGCUAGGAGGCGGGAGAGGCAAGCGGUACUCGAUGGGUAGGGGUAAAAUCCGUUGAUCCAUUGAAGACCACCACGUCGGCGAAGGCGGCUUGCCAGAACGC
rnacentral:rRNA from 1 species